rnacentral:rRNA from 1 species
CCUACGGGAGGCAGCAGUGAGGAAUAUUGGUCAAUGGGCGCGAGCCUGAACCAGCCAAGUCGCGUGAAGGAUGACGGUCCUAUGGAUUGUAAACUUCUUUUAUCGGGGAGCAAAAGACACCACGCGUGGUGUUCUGAGAGUACCCGAAGAAAAAGCAUCGGCUAACUCCGUGCCAGCAGCCGCGGUAAUACGGAGGAUGCGAGCGUUAUCCGGAUUUAUUGGGUUUAAAGGGUGCGCAGGCGGAAGAUCAAGUCAGCGGUAAAAUUGAGGGGCUAAACCUCAACGUGCAGUUGAAACUGGUUUUCUUGAGUGAGCGAGAAGUAUGCGGAAUUCGUGGUGUAGCGGUGAAAUGCAUAGAUAUCACGAAGAACUCCGGUUGCGAAGGCAACAUACUGG